UUAGUAAGACAGAGGUGAAAUGCCCGGGCUUAACCUGGGAACUGCCUUUGUGACUGCUAGGCUAGAGUGUGUCAGAGGGGGGUAGAAUUCCACGUGUAGCAGUGAAAUGCGUAGAUAUGUGGAGGAAUACCGAUGGCGAAGGCAGCCCCCUGGGAUAACACUGACGCUCAUGCACGAAAGCGUGGGGAGCAAAC
rnacentral:rRNA from 1 species